GAUGAACGCUGGCGGCGUGCCUAAUACAUGCAAGUCGAGCGAACGGACGAGGAGCUUGCUUCUCUGAUGUUAGCGGCGGACGGGUGAGUAACACGUGGAUAGCCUACCUAUAAGACUGGGAUAACUUCGGGAAACCGGAGCUAAUACCGGAUAAUAUUUUGAACCGCAUGGUUCAAAAGUGAAAGACGGUCUUGCUGUAACUUCUAGAUGGCUCCGCGCUGCAUUAGCUAGUUGGUAAGGUAACGGCUUACCAAGGCAACGAUGCAUAGCCGACCUGGGAGGGGGAUGGGCCACACUGGAAUUGAGACACGGUCCAGACUCCUACGGGAGGCAGCAGUAGGGAAUCUUCCGCAAUGGGCGAAAGCCUGACGGAGCAACGCCGCGUGAGUGAUGAAGGUCUUCGGAUCGUAAAACUCUGUUAUUAGGGAAGAACAUUUGUGUAAGUAACUGUGCACAUCUUGACGGUACCUUAUCAGAAAGCCACGGCUAACUACGUG
rnacentral:rRNA from 1 species